AAAAGAAAAGAAAAGAUCGAGCACGUAAAUGUCAUCAUGUUAGAAUUAUUAUAAUAUUCGUCAUUAUCGAAAUUUCCAAUUUCGUUGAAAUACGAAAAAAAAAAUAUGCAAGAAAAUUUCUUGGAUCUUUAUCUUCCUAUGCGAUGCGAUAAUAUUACAUCGCAGUAUAUUAAUUUUCCUUUAAUCUUUAUUAGUGAAAAAUUCGUAGUGAACGAAAGAUUACGAUUAAAAAUAUUCGCUAAACUGUUGCCAAUAAUACCAGAUCCCAUCACGUGUGUUUGUUCCGCUGACAUCAUCGGGUAGAAAACAAGGUGAUAUCAAGGUAAUUACGACAUCACGGGUCAACAGUGUGUAUGUAAAUACGUAUCUAACGAAACGGUAUACGUUUUCGUUUCCCACUUUUAUCAAUGAUUAUCUACGACCGAGCGCGUUGUUCUACACGGGACAGAUAACUAUGUUGGUCGAAUUCUUUCGAAUUGCAAAAGUGUAUCGCAUCGCGUCGUUACACGUCCCUCUACAGUAAUUAAACGGUAUUAAUUGGGCCACUUGCGCAGCAGUCUGCGCAGUAAAUAGAUCCUUCGCGCACCUGCUGCUUUAUCUACAUUAUUCGAUGCUACCAACUUUUUCCACGGUAAUUCUUUUUUAUUGAUUCGCCUCGCAAGAUUUAUCUCGUUGCUGUUCGACGCUGGUGCAUCGAGUAAUUCUUUAAUAGUCACUUGGAGAAUGCAAAUUUUCCGAUCUAAUUAGGAAAUAGCGUGUAUGAAAGCGCACGGUUGAAAAAUAUUUAGGUUUUUCGGGCGAUUAUUUUAAUUAGGUGUCUUUAAUUGGACUCGUGUACCGUCAAGAAACGGCCUCUGUUAACUAUCAGCAGCUAGAACACCUGUGUCCACUCGGAUCGUUCGUAGGUAACAUGAAUGGGCAAGAAAAAGAUCUCGCGAUAUCUCUACAGAGUGAUCCGAAAGCGUAAUAAAAUAUGUAUACGAUUCGUUCGAGAACGCAACUUUACGAUUUAUAAUAAUUGAAAUUAUUAUUAAUCUUUUCAACGAUCGAACAAGAUAAGUUGGUUAUUUAAUUGUACGAAAUGUCAUACAUUUUAACAUAUUACACUUUCAUUCCUGAACCGCGCCUACGUCAUUAUUAAUUCGUGGCAACGAAGCAUAAGCAUAAAAUGUCAAAACGAUGUACGAGAGAUACGGAGACGAUUCUCGUUCGUCAGAUGUUAUCACGCGCGGCAAGAGAAGAAAGAGCAUCGAGCGAGCCAUAGCUCGAGCAAAACAACGAAUCAUGCAAAUUAAUCAUCGAGAAUUUGGCCGAGAACAAGUGAGUAAACGAUUUCAAAAGUGAGGAGAUCUCGUAAAAUAGACCGGAUCUAUUCUCGGAGGAAGUUAAAUGUCAAAUUUCACGACCCUUGAGCGAACAAUGAGCAAACGUGACCCGCGGCGUAUUUCGCAAACUCGAUGCCCCAGAAAGUAAGAAGGGCCUCGGGGCUGUACUUGUAAGUUCGAAGAGCUCGUAGGAUACAAACAAAAACUCAUACGGAUUGUUUAUUAUUCGCAUUAUUGGUUCCCGUGAAUCGAAUAUAAAAUCAGCGAGAGAAAGGGACAACGUGGAGUUAAUUUAUUAUUUGAAUACUAAUUGAAUUUGUUCGGAUUGUUCCAAGUAUUCAUGCUCUUAUCCGGUUUAUAAAUAAAGGAAUUUACUAUUGAAAUUGUCGAACAGGAGAGAAUAUUAUUGGUGUAAUUUGAAAUGUAAUGUACAUUACGCAAAAUGUGUAAUUUAUACAUUAAGUAAUUGCCACAUCAAUCGAUACCGCUGCACCGAUGGUGAAUAAAUAAGGUUUGGAUAAUUGAUAUUGUAUUUUCUACAAUUUUCUGAACCUUUUAUGGCUAGAUUUCAUUACAUGCAAGGUGAACGAUCCCUAUGAACGAAAUAUCAUUAGAGAGUCCAUUAGGGAAAUGUAAAUAUGCUAGUGGUUUUACUCGUGAGAAUUGGAAAACAAAUUUUCUUUAUUAUAUUUCACUCAGCUUUACGUAUAGGAGAGUAUUAAUCUUUGAUGUAACAAUUACUCAAAUGGAUUUAUUCCAUCGCACCAUUCUACUUAUUAUACUAGAUAUAUGAUUCUUUUUCACAUUAAAAUACUUAUUAACAAACUUAUCUUAAUUGUUAAUGAUUAACAAUUAACAUAAUCUGAUAUAUGUUUUUAAUACGUUCGAAUAACUCUUCCUAUUCAUCCUAACCUAAAAGUUUCUGCACAAAAAUUUGACACGCUUUCAACCAAUGUUUCCAAUCUUCCCAACAAUUAACAUGAUCUGAUAUAUAUAUUUUAAUAAAUCCUUUCUAUUCAUCACCUAUUUAAACUUAACCUAAAUUUAAAAGUUACUGCACAAAAACAUACCGUUAAUAGAUUUUCCUUUUCACAUCGGACAGAAUAAUUACAAGAUCACCAUCACUUUUUUGUUAUUCGGAAACAAAUCCACACGAAUAAAACGCAGUUGGUAUACUUGUAUCGCAAAAACAAUGGAUAGAAAUAUUCGUAGGCACAACAGUCGCACGCAAAUGUGUUUCAUCAUUCUAUCCUCUCCGACUUUCCCUCUUUUUUUGUACAAAAUGCAACGUUGCACGAGCAUAAUUCGAUAACAGGUCGGGGAGAAAUUAGUUUCGUUGAACUUGGAACGCAAUGACAAAAGCAAGCUCCUAAGCACCAUUUUACAGCCAUCCAGCCUUCUUACUUUACGAACAGUAUCUCGCACGGUAAUAUCCGAUAGUUUCUAUUUUACCAGCGAGGUGAACGUGAGCCCAUGAAAUUACCACAAUUAUAUCGCGAUCAUUCUUUUGCUCGCCGCUUGUAAAAAGCACGUUCCCGCGAAAACUUUCCUUUUUCAACAACUGGUGGCUGGAAACUGGCUACUGGAAAAUUAAACGCGCCGGUUCUCAAACAUUAAGAUCCUCCUCGAGAUUUUAUUAAUUAUUUGUAUGGUAAAAGUUUUCGGCGUUAAGAACAGACGGUGAAAGUUAUUCUUUUUGUUCUUAAACUUAUUUUAUUCGCAUUGUUCCCACAUAUGCUGAUUAAUGGGAUAGAAGCGGAGUGUUUUAGAAAAGUGAUCGUGAGAGCGUUAUAUUAAUGUAUAGCGUAUAUUAAUCUUAUUCUCUUAUCCAUGCAAUAAUUGGAUCGUUUUUUUUUGAAAGUGGUCCAUAAAUCUAUUUUUGGAAAAAAUGAAUUAAUGGCAGAUUAUAGUCGGAUAUCCUCUUUUUAUAUUUAUAAUCACAAAGUCAAUGGUUAUAGAAUAAAUUAAUAAAUUAAUAAAAAAAAGUUGAAUUGUAAAAUGUUAUCGCAGGAAUGUCUUUGUUGAAAUUGGAAUAAGUCCGUUCGUAAUAAUGACGAGAUUGAGAAAUAAGAUUGAAAUAUGAAUAAAUUUGUUAUUAUUAGUUAUUUUAACGAAGCAAUUUACUUUUCAUACUUGUUUAUUUAUUUAUGAUAAAUAAAUUCGUUAUGAUAUAACUGAAAUUAUUUCUUAAUAAACUCGAUUACUCAUUCGUACUUAAUUAUUUUUUAUAUUAAAAAAUACAUUUCAGAAAAGCCAACUUCAAUUAAAAUAUAAAUUAAAAAUUGUUUAUAUUUUUCAUAAUAUGUUAUUACUGAAAGUGAUACGUAAAUUUGUAGUUAAAAAAUCGUUUAUUUUCUUUAAUAUUUUUAUCAAUUACUAUUACAUAAUAAAAUUUAACAAAUUUACAAUUUUAAAAAUUUUGUUACCCGAAUUAAUUAACGUUUGCCAAUAUUUUUAAAUUGAUUCAAAUAAUAUCUCAAUACGUACGAAUAAACGGACUUUAUACCACUUUCAAAAGCAACUCCAAUUAUUCUUCACUUAUUACGAUACAAUGACUUUGUUACACGUUUUAUAAUACAAUAAAAUAUUAAAUAUCCAGAUUAAAAAAAAAAUUAACAAUUAUUCGUCAAAAAUAUUCCAUCUGAUUUCUCAUAAUACUCGUUAACCCAUUACGUAAAUCUUUUAAUCUAUGAAUUACAUUUGAGAACCCAUACAAUUGCCUUGAUCGCAAUUGUAACCGAAAUUGACGAGCGAUUUCUAGGUAAAAAAAAAAAAAAAAAGGAAGAAAAAAAAAACAAUCGUUUCUAGGAAGGAAAUGAAUGGAAAACAAGAACGUUACGAGAAUUUUCGCGUAGGUGCACUCCGUGAGAAUUUGUUAAAAGAAGGAAAAUUACUCGAUGAUACUACUCGGUUGCAAGCCCGCGCGAUGAGCCAGUUGAACGAACAUGUUACGUGACGAUAGUUUUAAACGAGCUUCUCCUUCUCGGAGUCUUUCUGCUCGAUGACUCCAUUACACAUAUCCAUUUCUUUCCUCGAUAAACGAAGGGUUGUGAUGAGCAACGAGAUUCGUUUUAUCUUUCGAAUUCCGUUAGAAAAUCGAUUUCGAUUUUUUUUUUUUUUUCUUAACUCGAUUCGUCGAAAAGAUUUAUUAUUACGAUUAAAAGAAGAGAAAAAGAACGUCCGUUUGUAUAUGGGUCACGUCACGUCAUCGACUUACGCAAACGGGGUUAAUUAAAGGAGUUAGUUAAAAAAAAGAAAAAAAAAAAAAAAAGAUCGAAUAUUCGAGUUUUCUCGGAGUUACGAAUCCGUCCGAGAGAAAUGUAUCAAUUAUCCUUCUGCGUAUAUAUUUCGCGGUCCGAUGAUUUUAUCGAUGGCGAAAAUCGUUAAGAUCGGCAGGGCUGUAUUAUAUCGAGGGUGAAACCGCACGAGUGAGCAAAGCACGAGACCAUGAAAUCUCUGUUACGCUUUAUUCGCGUAUGUUGCGGUCCACCGUUGCGGGACGUCACCGUUAAAAUAUUCUUUAAACUCCUGGACGUAAUCGAAACCUGAAAUUAAAUAUCCCGCAACGCCGCAAAAGGCUGCAAAACGCAAGGCUCUUUACGCCCGGGGCAAUUUUCUCGAGCGGAAAUUAUGAAUGUCAGUGCAUAGAAAGGCUUGUAUAAUGGAAUGCAUACAUCGAGGAGGGAGGUGACGAUGAUGAUGAUGUCAUAAUCGAAAACACGGAGGUGGAGUGGAAAUAUAUUUUAUUUUCUGGUAAACGUAAGUUCUUCGAUAAUGUUAAGCAAAUUUGUUAAUCUACGAAAGAGAAAAAGAGAGAGACUUUUCCCUGGGAUUAUUCGCAUUUUGCAAUGCUUUUAAGCGUAAUUACUUCGUGCCACGAACGAGAAAAUAUUCAUUUUUAAUUAAAUUAGAAAAAAAAAUUAGAUUACACAUAUCGCAUUCGACUCGAAGUUGGAUUAUUAAAUAUACGCGUUUUACGAAUGAAAAUAAAUGUUCCAGUUUUAAUACGUUUCACGAUGAAAAAAAACGCGCCACGUUUUUUCAACGAGAUAGAAUUCUGAACUCGUCUCGUGGAUUUGUUUAGUACACGUAACACGUACUAGCCUUCUGUACCUGAGGGAUUCGCACGAUCAGGCUCGCGUGCGACUUGCAAUCAAAGUCAAGGUGAAAUCUGGAAAUUUCCAAACACCGCCGCUGAAUCAUACCAGUGUACCAGAUCUUCGUUACACAGAGAUCGGAGAGAUCGUCUUGUCGUGUCUCGAGAACAUGACUUUCUACGAUUAUCGUUACAUACAUUUAUCGAAAAAGAUCGACUUUUUUUCCGUUUAUUUUCUUCAUGGAUCUUUUUCUUCGAUCCUUUUUCUUUUAUUUUCCAACGAAAUAUUGUUUCUUGCUUGUAAAACGUU